GCCCUUGUAGCUCAGCGGUAGAGCACUCCCUUGGUAAGGGAGAGGUCGCGAGUUCAAGUCUCGUCAAGGGCU
rnacentral:tRNA from 1 species